UCGCAUUGGUCUCAAACCAAUGACAUGCAUUUUGAAGACCAUGAGUUCGAGGUGGACGAGGAGGGUGAGGGCAUUGUCGACGCACCGAAAGGAAGAGCGGGCAAUUACACCAACACCGAUGACAUCUUACUAUGCAAUACUUGGUUGCAAGUGUCGAGGGAUCCAUCCGUUGGAGGCGAUCAAAGUAGAGAUGCUUAUUGGAACCGGAUGAAGGAACAAUUUGAUGCUCGCAACGUGAGUGGAAUUGACCGCUCCAACCGAUCACUUAGGUCCCGGUGGUCGACAAUCAACUCGGAUUGUCAAAAGUGGGCGGCUUGUCAAAAGGUGGUUGACAAGUUGAACCCAAGUGGCACAAAUGAGGACGAU
rnacentral:rRNA from 1 species